rnacentral:rRNA from 1 species
UACAGAGGUCCCAAGCGUUGUUCGGAUUCACUGGGCGUAAAGGGUGCGUAGGCGGUCGGGUAAGUCUGACGUGAAAUCUCCAAGCUCAACUUGGAAAUGGCGUCGGAUACUAUUCGGCUGGAGGAAUGGAGGGGAGACUGGAAUUCUCGGUGUAGCAGUGAAAUGCGUAGAUAUCGAGAGGAACACCGGUGGCGAAGGCGGGUCUCUGGGCCGAUACUGACGCUGAGACGCGAAAGCGUGGGGAGCGAACAGG